rnacentral:lncRNA from 1 species
UUUUUUUUUUUUUUUUUUUUUUUUUGUCAAGGGAAGACAUGGGGACAGAGUCCCAGGGUAAAUAUAUAAAAGAGAUCCUUUAGUUGUAGUCUUAGGCAGAGAACCAGAAUAAAAACAACAACUCGUCCAUUUUAUUUCCUGGAGCAAGAUCUGUGACUCCAACAUUUCAAGCCUUAGAUGACAACUUUAAUACUAUUUAGGUUCAAAUAUUUCAGUUUCUUAUUUUCGGUUUCUAAAGCCUUGGGCCUUUGAGCCUUGGUUUUAUAAGGACAAGACUCAGGCCUCUGAGUAGUGUGAAAGCAGAUUCCAUUUCUGCUCAGAUGAAAGCCUCAUUUGAAAGCAUAUCCAGGGGUAAUUCAAAUUUCUUCUAAACCCACUCCAGUUAGGCUUUCACCCUUGCCACCAGACCAAAAACAGCAUUUGUCAUGGUCAUCAGUGACCUCCAUGUUGCCAAUACAACACUCGGUUCUCAGUAUUUUUUUAAAAGAUGUUAUUUGUUUAUUCAUGAGAGAGAGAGAGAGGCAGAGACACAGGCAGAAGGAGAAGCAGGCUCCUCACAAGGAGCCCAACGUGGGACUCAAUCCCAGGACCCUGGGAUCAGGCCCUUAGCCAAAGGCAGAUGCUCAACAGCUGGGCCACCCACCUCAGUUCUCAGUCUUUAUUGACUGUCAGCAUCACUCAGCACUGCUAGUCACCCUCCUUCAUGAAGCACAUUCUUUACCUGACUCUCAGGAUGCUCCUCUCCCUUGGUGUUCCUUUUAUCCCUGGCUACUCCUUCUUAGUCUCAUCUGCUGAUCCCUCCUGCCUCCUUAAUCUCUCAAGAUUAGAGCUGCCCAGGCUUCCAUCCAUGAACACUUUUUCUUCCCUACCAAGACUUCCUCUGGAAGUGAUCUCAGCCAGUUUUAGCAUUUAUACAUACUCUCUAUGGAGUGAAAACUUCCAGGUGUGGUUAACUCUACCUUCAAAAUACAAAACCACUGUUUACCACCCUCCAACAUUACCACCAUAAUCUCUUGCCUGAGUUUUACAUUAAUAGUUUGUGUCCAUCUUUGUCCCCUUAUCAUUGAUUUUUCACCUGGCAGUCAGAGUAAUCUUUUUAAAAAGGCAGAAAAAAAUAUUGCUUCUUCCCUCUGCCCUCCUGUGGUUACUUAAACCAGAGUGAAAACCUAAGUCUCUGUUAAACUUCUCACCUGCUAUUUUACCAUUCUGUUUCUAUCUAGCCCAGUCUGCUCCAGGCCCACUGGUCUCCAACUCAUCCUCACACAGGUCAAGUACAACUGAACUUCAAGGCUUUCAUACUUGCAUUCCCUCUGUGGCAGUGCUCUUCUCCCAGAUAUUGCAGGCUUGCUCUUAUAUUUCCUUUGGGUGUCAGUUCAAAAGUCAUCUUGUCAGCAAGGCUUCUCUGGACCACCUGUAUUUUAUAGCAGCUCUCCUCCCUCCUCUCUACUCUCACAACACCCAUUCUUUUGAUAGCAGUUGCCAUGAUCGUACAAACCAUCCAAGUGCUCAUCUAUGGUCCUUAGGUAAACUCCAUAAUAUCUGAGAUUUUGCUUAUUUGGUUUCUGUUCUUUUCUACCACCUCAAAUAGUUUCUGGCACAUAUUGGCUACUCAGUAAAUAAUUGUUGAAUGAAAGAACCAAAUUAGCAAAUCUUAUCCUAAGAUCUACAAUCAAAUUCAGGGAGCAAUGCACUUACAGCCUCCAUGAAGAGAGGAAGCUUCUGUUCCUCACACUUGACUGCUUGAGAAUCAAAGCUGCCUUGGUUCUUCCAUUCAUAUACUGGAGGAUUCCUAAAGGAUUUAAUUCCUUACAAAAAUAUUAAAAGCAAAUCAUAUCUUAUGUAAUGGAGCAGAGAAGUUAAGAGUUAAGAUUCUAGAUCCAGACUGCCUGGAUCCAAAGUCCAGCUCUAUAUCUUACUUGCUAUGUGUCCUUGGGCAAGUAACUGAACUUCUCCGUUUGUCAGAUUCCUUCCACACAAAAGAGUGAUAAUGGUAGUAUCUACCUGAUGAAGUUAAUCUAAGGAUUGAAGAAGAUAUAUUACAUUUAAGAUCCCCUAAAAAGGAGGGGAUCCCUGGGUGGCUCAGCGGUUUGGCACCUGCCUUUGGCCCAGGGCGUGAUCCUGGAGUCCCAGGAUGGAGUCCUGCAUUGGGCUCCCGGCAUGGAGCCUGCUUCUCCCUCCUCCUGUGUCUCUGCCUCUCUCUCUCUCUCUCUCUCUCUGUCCAUCAUGAAUAAAUAAAUAAAUAAAUCGUUAAAAAAAAGAUACCUAAAAAGGAACCUGGUACAUAGUAAGUACUUAAGUAUUAGCUCAUUAUAGUUCACUAAGAACAUAUUACCCAGAUAACAUUCUUUUUUUGUUCCCCAAGAGGCUUUUUAAGAGGGAGUUACAUAUAUACCACAUAUUCAUAUUACAUAUAUAGUGUGUAUUUAUACACAGUGUACAUAUGCAUAUAUAUGUAAUAUAUAUAUUAGUUAUCUUUGUGUUUGUAUGUAUUAUUUUGUAUGUAUUAUUGUUUGUAUGUAUUAUUUAAAUAUUCGUAUUUAAAAUAUGUUUGUAUGUAUUAUUUAAAUAUUUGUAUUUAAAAUAUGUUUGUAUGUAUUAUUUAAAUAUUGACUUACUUUUUUCCUGUGUCUAGCUUCUUAUGUCUCACAUAAACCAUGGGGUAGAUAUCAGUACUUCUUUCUUCCCAAAGAUGAUCCACUUCACCAAAUAUUAAUAUAAUUAAUGAGUGUAAAUUUUACUUGCUAUUUUAUAGGAAUCUUGGAAGAGAGGGCUUACAGCACCGAUUAUGACAAAAUGUAAAAGAUCUUCCUUGGAUAUUUCUCUUCUCCAUCAAAAUUGCUCUUUCACCACACCAUCAGCCAGGCUUCUCUUUUUCACAUUCCCAUGCAGUUUCCUGCUGCCUCUUCCAGGAUGACUUGGCCUCAUUGUCUGGGCCCAUGCUGCUCUUCACUCACCCACAGCCUUUAUGUCUCUGCUCACACCAUUUCCAGCAAGAGCUCCUUUGGGUGCUGUAUCUUACUUAUAUCUUACUCUUAAUCCUUGACACCUAGUAGAGGGCCAUGCUCUAUAGGCUACUAAGAGAAUGAAUACAUGGAAGACCUUAUACAUGAAUAAUCUUCUUCUAUAGAGAGGAAAAUUGAAGCAAGAGUGUCAAACAGCCUGUGAAACAGUCAAAAAGACACCUCAGAUUGUCCUGCCCUCCUCUGCUCCCAUCCAUCACAAAGACUAAGUACAUCCAGUUCCAGUCUUUCCAUUCAACACGUGGAAUGAUUCUGACCUUCCUGUCUGCUCUGAAGAUCACUGUUACACCAGGAGCCAGUCUUAGGCCAUGCAGAAAGCAAGCUCUCUUAAUAGCUGCUUCUUCUGCUUCAUUUCCUACUGGGAAAAACUAAUCAAACAUGUAGGAAGCUUAAGAAUAUUCCAAAGCGAUUUGAUUGUUCACUGGUGGCCAGUUUCAAGAAAUGCAUACUGAUGAAUAUAAACACCAUUCCCCCUGCCUCUGCAGAUAGGAUCCAUCC